GGAAUAUUGCACAAUGGGCGCAAGCCUGAUGCAGCAACGCCGCGUGGGGGAUGACGGCCUUCGGGUUGUAAACCUCUUUUAGUAGGGAAGAAGCGAAAGUGAUGGUACCUGCAGAAAAAGCACCGGCUAACUACGUGCCAGCAGCCGCGGUAAUACGUAGGGUGCAAGCGUUGUCCGGAAUUAUUGGGCGUAAAGAGCUCGUAGGCGGUUUGUCGCGUCUGCUGUGAAAUCCCGAGGCUCAACCUCGGGCCUGCAGUGGGUACGGGCAGACUAGAGUGCGGUAGGGGAGAUUGGAAUUCCUGGUGUAGCGGUGGAAUGCGCAGAUAUCAGGAGGAACACCGAUGGCGAAGGCAGAUCUCUGGGCCGCUACUGACGCUGAGGAGCGAAAGCAUGGGGAGC
rnacentral:rRNA from 1 species